UACGUAGGGGGCGAGCGUUGUCCGAAGUUACUGGGCGUAAAGCGCGCGUAGGCGGGUUGGCAAGUCUGCUGUGAAAGCCCGGGGCUUAACUCCGGAGGGUCGGUGGAUACUGCCAGUCUUGAAGGUGCUAGGGAGAGAUGGAAUUACCGGUGUAGCGGUGAAAUGCGUAGAUAUCGGGAGGAACACCUGUGGCGAAAGCGGCUCACUGGACCACAACUGACGCUGAGAGACGAAAGCUAGGGUAGCAAAUGGG
rnacentral:rRNA from 1 species